UGCCAUCCGCCGCGGUAAUACGAAGGGUGCUAGCGUUGUUCGGAAUUAUUGGGCGUAAAGGGCGCGUAGGCGGUCUUGUCGGUCAGAUGUGAAAGCCCAGGGCUCAACCCUGGACGUGCAUUUGAAACAGCAAGACUUGAGUACGGGAGAGGAAAGCGGAAUUCCUGGUGUAGAGGUGAAAUUCGUAGAUAUCAGGAGGAACACCGAUGGCGAAGGCAGCUUUCUGGACCGAUACUGACGCUGAGGCGCGAAGGCGUGGGUAGCGAACAGGAUUAGAUA
rnacentral:rRNA from 1 species